CCUCCCGCCGCCGCCACCCAUGUUCCUCGGGAGCUUGUCCCUUCGCCAACCAAAUCUUCCCCUCGGGAUCCCCUCCCGAUCCAAACCACCAACCGAAGCCGCCACCUUCCUCGUUUUCCAGAUCAGGCCAACCACAACCUUCCAAUCCAUCGAUCCCCAUCCAACCACCUGCCCGAGCUCCUCCGUUCGAAGCCACCAGAGAGCCUCCGUGCUGGCUGGAUGUGGGAACGAGAGGGAGCUCCUCCCGUUUGCUCCUCCCUCCAUGGAGUCGUCGCCAUCGGCGCACCCAGCCACCUGGAGCUCGCCCUGUCUUCCUCGUCGACCAGGACCGGCCUCGUCCCUCUCUCUCCCCCUUCGUUCUCCUCCUUCUGUCUCUCUCGCGCUCUCAAUUUCUCUCUCUCUCGCCAGGUACAGGAGUAACAGGAGCUCGCCCUGCUGCCAUGGCCACCGUUCCGUGACGUCGAGCCCCGCCAAGUCCUCCCUCGCGCCGGAUCCAUCCAUCCCCGAUGCCUGCGCCUCCUUCCUGCUCGGAUCCAGCGAAUUCCGAGCCAAGCCGCCGCUCUUCUUCUAGCGGACCUUCGCCGGAGUCGCGCCAUGUUCCCCUACGUCAAGCCUCGACCUUGAGCUCUUCCCCAACGCCGUUCCUGGCCUCCACCUCUCGUCGCCGCCGAGGACGUGCGCAGCCGCCUCCUUCAAUUCGUCGCGCCGCCACCUAGUUCGCCGGAUCCCCUGCCUGUCGGCCCCUUCUCCGCCUGGAGCUUCGUCUCCUGCACCCGCUCCCAUAUCCGGUCAUCCCCGCCGCCAAACUCUGCGUCCCUGCAGUCCCGCGCCGCCGCUGCUUCCUAUCGAGCGAGCAGAGGAGGAUGAUGCCUCGUUCAACGCCGUUGACCGCGCGAGCAUCGUCAGCGCCUCCCUGCCUCGCAUCGUGGACUGGCUCCAGCGCCCUUCGCCAAGGCCCAGCCCCGCGCCGCUUCUUCCUCAGCCCAGCGGCUCCUACACCGAUCGGGCCAAGAGCCCAUGUUCCGGUUAUGUUGCGAUUGUGAGGAUUCGUUCGACUACGUCCGUUUGUCUUCUCAUGGACUCGUUCUUCUUCCUAGCGGGUUUUCAGGCAAGAUGACCAUACCCUCGAAAUCACUUCUAUCUUUGCUUCCUAGUUGUUCGCUCUCUCGCUGUGUCGCGCUACCUACCACUUGGGAUAUCACAAUAUCUCUUAUUUUAAUUAAUGCACCUAUAUACUUGGUAAAGGGUGGAAGGCUCGGCCUUAUGCC